UACGUAGGGUGCGAGCGUUAAUCGGAAUUACUGGGCGUAAAGCGUGCGCAGGCGGUUCUCCAAGUCCGUUGUGAAAGCCCCGGGCUCAACCUGGGAAUGGCAGUGGAAACUAGGGGACUGGAAUCUGGCAGAGGGGGGUAGAAUUCCACGUGUAGCAGUGAAAUGCGUAGAGAUGUGGAGGAAUACCAAUGGCGAAGGCAGCCCCUGGGCCAAUACUGACGCUCAUGCACGAAAGCGUGGGGAGCAAACAGG
rnacentral:rRNA from 1 species